CCUACGGGUGGCAGCAGUGAGGAAUAUUGGUCAAUGGACGAGAGUCUGAACCAGCCAAGUAGCGUGAAGGAUGACUGCCCUAUGGGUUGUAAACUUCUUUUAUAUGGGAAUAAAAUGUUCCACGUGUGGGAUUUUGUAUGUACCAUAUGAAUAAGGAACGGCUAACUCCGGGCCAGCAGCCGCGGUAAUACGGAGGAUCCGGGCGUUAUCCGGAUUUAUUGGGUUUAAAGGGAGCGUAGGUGGAUUGUUAAGUCAGUUGUGAAAGUUUGCGGCUCAACCGUAAAAUUGCAGUUGAAACUGGCAGUCUUGAGUACAGUAGAGGUGGGCGGAAUGCGUGGUGUAGCGGUGAAAUGCUUAGAUAUCACGAAGAACUCCGAUUGCGAAGGCAGUUCACUGGACUGCAACUGACACUGAGGCUCGAAAGUGUGGGUAUCAAACAGGAUUAGAUACCCCAGUAGUC
rnacentral:rRNA from 1 species